rnacentral:rRNA from 1 species
AGUCUAGAGAAUCGUUUUCCGCGUUGGCCUGUGUACAAGUCCCUUGGAACAGGGCGUCAUAGAGGGUGAGAAUCCCGUCCUUGACACAGACUACCAAUGCUUUGUGAUGCGAUCUCGAAGAGUCGAGUUGUUUGGGAAUGCAGCUCAAAAUGGGUGGUAAAUUCCAUCUAAAGCUAAAUAUUGGCGAGAGACCGAUAGCGAACAAGUACCGUGAGGGAAAGAUGAAAAGCACUUUGGAAAGAGAGUUAAACAGUACGUGAAAUUGUUAAAAGGGAAACGAUUGAAGUCAGUCAUGCUCUCCGAGACUCAGCCGAUUCUGUCGGUGUACUUCUCGGUUGGCAGGCCAGCAUCAGUUUUGAUCUGUGGAAAAGGUUGGAGAGAAUGUGGCAUCCUCGGAUGUGUUAUAGCUCUUCUUCGAAUACAUAGAGCGGGACUGAGGAACGCAGCGUGCCUUUUAUUAGGUUGGCCUUCGGGUACAUACACGCUU